rnacentral:lncRNA from 1 species
AGACUCUCAUCUUCACUCAAUCGCAGAUACCUAUGUCAGAGGAAAAGAAGAAAUUAUAGAGAAGAAAACUUCUUGAUCUGACAAAGCAUAAAGCACUUGGAGGCUGGCGUAAGUGCCUUGCACACUGGCUUCUGCGGUUUUCUCCGCCUCCCGGGCUGUCCCAGCUGAGUCCUGGACGUCAGAGCUCCCUCGCACCUGUUCUUCGCCAAACUCCCAGCGCGUGGAGAGGGCCUCGGCGGUCCCUGCGGAGAUAGAUAAUUGAAAGCUGGAGCUGGGAAGUUGAAAUGCAAUUAUCUAAGCAACAUCUUCACAUCUGUUUCUGUCUGAGGAAUUCUGCCUUCACAAAUCCCAAGAGAUGGCCUUAUAAAGAUCUGCUCAGCAGUGGCAAAAGCUAGGUUGCCUGAGUCUUUAGGGAAGACCCUCAUACCUGUACCUCCCUCGACAGAUCUAUGCAACUCUAACACAACAAACAGAUAAGUCUACUAAUUACUCACUCUAUUAAUUAUUUCACUUUUUUGGGGGGGGGAGUGGUAUUGGGGAUUGAAACAUGGGCCUUUGCACUGAGCUUUUUGUUUUGGGGUUGGGGGGGGGGUUGGAACCAGGGAUUGAACUCAGGACCUUGGGCUCACAAGGCAGGCACAGUACCACCGAGCUAAAUCCCCGGCCUUGUUUUGUUUUUUGUUUGUUUUUGAAACAGGGUCUCAGUAAGUCACUAAAUUGCCCAGGCUGAGUUCAAACUUUUUUUUGAGACAGGCUUUGUGGUGCAAGCUGGCCCUGAAUUUAUGUAGCCCAAGCUGGCCCUGAACUUACAGUGAUUAUUCUGCCUCAGCCUCUGUCUUGUCACAAGUUCAGACUUUAUUUUUCCUACAGGAC